GACGAACCGUGCGAACGUUGUUCGGAAUCACUGGGCUUAAAGGGCGCGUAGGCGGGCUCGCCAGUCAGGGGUGAAAGCCUCCAGCUCAACUGGAGAAGUGCCUUUGAUACUGCGGGUCUCGAGGGAGGUAGGGGCGUGCGGAACUUCCGGUGGAGCGGUGAAAUGCGUAGAUAUCGUAAGGAAGACCAGUGGCGAAGGCGGGUCUCUGGACAGUUCCUGACGCUGAGGCGCGAAAGCUAGGGGAGCAAACGGG
rnacentral:rRNA from 1 species